CGUGUAGGCGGGAAGGAAAGUCAGAUGUGAAAUCCCUGGGCUCAACCCAGGAACUGCAUUUGAAACUCCCUUUCUUGAGUGUCGGAGAGGAAAGCGGAAUUCCUGGUGUAGAGGUGAAAUUCGUAGAUAUCAGGAGGAACACCGGUGGCGAAGGCGGCUUUCUGGACGACAACUGACGCUGAGACACGAAAGCGUGGGGAGCAAACA
rnacentral:rRNA from 1 species